rnacentral:lncRNA from 1 species
CUCAGAGCAGGGGGCCUAAAGAAUGGCUCCUCUGUUUAUAACACACCCAACAGGAAUCUGGGGUCAAUGUGAUGAGAGGCACAAAGCUUGUGGCCUCCCUACAAACAAAUGCCUACAUGUGAAGAGGAAAAAAAAUUAUAGAAUCUGGGUAGUGGGUGUAUGGGUGUUCACUGUAUAAUUCUUUCAACAAUCUCCUAUGUUUGAAAAUUUGCUUAAAAAAAUAGUGUGGCUCACACCUGUAAUCCCAACACUUUGGGAGGUCAAGGCAGGUAGGUCACUUGAAGCCAGGAGUUCAGGACUGGCCUAGGCAACACGGCGAGACCCUGUCUCUACAAAAAAUUUUAAAAAUUAGCCGGGCAUGGUAGCCUGUGCCUGUAGUCCUAGCUAUUCAGGAGGCUGAGGUGGGAGGAUUGCUUGAACCCAGAAGGUUGAGGCUGUAAUGAGCCAUGAUUGCACCACUGCACUCCAGCCUGAGCAACAGGGUGAGACUCCCAUCUCAAAAAAAAGGAAAGGAAAAAAUUUUAUAUAUAUAUAUAUAUAUAUAUAUAAAAUGCCAGAAAGCAGUUUUCUUGACAUGAUAGAAAAGAAUGUGCUUGGGAAUUCAAGCUCUAUAGCAACAAGACAGAGAAGAUUGUAUUAGUAAGAUUGUAUAUCUUCCAGUGUCACCUGUAUAUCCCCUAAACUCCUCACCUAUAUCACAAAAACCUGCCAAGGCAGAAUACAUUCCCUUGGGAAAGGAGCUUUGGCGGGCAAGCAGGCAUCGGGUCCCAUCUGACACCAGCGUGAUCGCCACAGGAGCCAUCUAGGAAAGGGGAAUGGAAACUGAGAUGCUGGCACUUUGGGCCCUGCCAAUGAGCUAAAGCAGUGUAUAAUUAAGGAAUUGCACAGGCUUCCUUCCCCAGGACAAAGCAGCGCACAGUCUUCUUGGAUUACUGUCCUCUUACAGCAAUAAUUACCUGUGGAUAAUAGAUUAUAUUAUUGGAAGGGCACACACGCUUGCUGCCAGCCACGUUCUUCUUGGUGGGCUGCCCACUUCUGCUGCAGAACUGAUGAGCAUCAUGCCAGCGGAGAAGAGCUUGAGCCUAGGAACACAAUGAUGGGCCUGGUGUCAUUUGGAGAGAAUGCGGGGCUCAUCUUUAACAGCACUGGGCCUAGUGUCUGGAACAACUCACAGAAAAAUGCCAAUCUCUUUACAGCUCACGUAAUUUAAAUGGUUACUGUUUAAAUUUCAGGACAAGUAAACUAACUGAACAUAUUCCUCUAGCAUCAGAAAUCUGAAUAAAAGAAAGCAUAUUUUUAAAUGUAUUAUUAUUUAAAACAUAUGAAGUAUAUGAGGUAAUAAAAUGAACACCCAUGUAUUCACUAACCAGCUUAAAAAUAAAACAUUCCCAGUACAGUUGAACACCCCAAAAUGUUCUUCUCCCUGGUAAAGUUGGAAUUUUUUGCAACUAAAAAAAUGUUUAGAGGUUUCUUUUUAAAUUAAAUGCACAAUCAAAAUACUUUAGCAAGUGAAAUCUAAAGCUGUGAGGGCAAGUCAUUAAAGCAAUGUAAAGUAAUUUCUCUUAGGGAAAACAUGAUACUGUAUAUGUCAUGCUAUGUGGGUCAUUAAAAAUGUUU